rnacentral:rRNA from 1 species
AAUGAACGUUGGCGGCGUGGAUUAGGCAUGCAAGUCGAGCGGUAGGAGUUCACUCACCCCACACUUUCGAGCGAGCCGGGUCGUCCCCGACCCCGGCCAGCGCAAGUGCGAGGUGAGUGGACUCUGAGAGCGGCGAAAAGGGAGAGUAACGCGUAGUUACGUACCUCGGGGUCCGGAAUAGCCACGGGAAACUGUGGGUAAUGCCGGAUAAUAUCCCCGGAUCAAAGGUGUGAUUCCGCCCUGGGAGCGGACUGCGUUGUACUAGCUAGUUGGUGGGGUAAUGGCCCACCAAGGCAAUGAUGCAUAGCGGGUGUGAGAGCAUGACCCGUCUCACUGGGACUGAGACACUGCCCAGACACCUACGGGUGGCUGCAGUCGAGAAUCUUCGGCAAUGCGCGCAAGCGUGACCGAGCGACGCCGUGUGUGGGAUGAA